rnacentral:pre_miRNA from 2 species
UCUCAUGGAUGAGCAAAGAAAGUGGUUUCUUGAGAUGGAAUCUACCCCUACUUAAGAUACAGUGAA